rnacentral:rRNA from 1 species
UACAGAGGGGGCAAGCGUUGUUCGGAAUUACUGGGCGUAAAGGGCGCGUAGGCGGCCUGUUAAGUCGAACGUGAAAUCCCCGGGCUCAACCCGGGAACUGCGUCCGAUACUGGCAGGCUUGAAUCCGGGAGAGGGAUGCGGAAUUCCAGGUGUAGCGGUGAAAUGCGUAGAUAUCGGGAGGAACACCAGUGGCGAAGGCGGCUCUCUGGACAGGUACUGACGCUGAGACGCGAAAGCGUGGGUGGCAAACAGG